rnacentral:sRNA from 1 species
AGAAAAUUCUUAACCUGAAGUCAGAUGAACACAUAUUUAAAUUUCUGAAGGCAAAAUUUGGGCUUGGAGCAACAAGGGAUUUUGAUGCAAAUCUCUAUCUGUGUGAAGAAGCUUUUGGCCUCCUGCCUUUUAAUACAUUUGGAAGGCUUUCAGAUACUCUGCUUUUUUAUGCUUACAUAUUCGUUCUGUCCAUCACAGUGAUUGUAGCAUUCGUUGUUGCCUUUCAUAAUCUCAGUGAUUCUACAAAUCAACAAUCCGUGGGUAAAAUGGAAAAAGGCACAGUUGACCUGAAACCAGAAACUGCCUACAACUUAAUACAUACCAUUCUGUUUGGAUUCUUGGCAUUGAGUACAAUGAGAAUGAAGUACCUCUGGACGUCACACAUGUGUGUGUUCGCAUCAUUCGGCCUAUGUAGCCCUGAAAUAUGGGAGUUACUUCUGAAGUCAGUCCAUCUUUAUAACCCAAAGAGGAUAUGUAUAAUGCGAUAUUCAGUACCGAUAUUAAUACUGCUGUAUCUGUGCUAUAAGAACCAGAAGUCCUGACACCUGAUUUCCCAUCACUAGCAAUUUUCCUGAUUCACCCACCCAGGAGACAAGAUUUGAAUGAGCAGUAAAAAUGGCCAAAGAUGAGAUGACCAAAAAAACAGUGAUAGGUCUCAAACACAGCCAGAGAUCAAUCAGGUGCUGCUUUGAUUCUACUAGUGGUUCUUAAAUAAAAGUAUUAUAUUUUCUACGUCAGUGGAGCAUACAUACAUUGUCAUUGGUCUUCUAUGCUAAUAUGUGAAGUGAAUUCUACCUUUGACCUUAGAAUGUAUAUAGAUAUGAUCAAGUCUUUUUAGUCAACUGUCAUUUGAUAAAAACAAUUAAGAUUUAGUUAAUUGUUGAAUUAAAUGGACUUAAGAUAUUAGAUAAGUGGGUAAUUCAGAGAGUAAUUUUUACAUUUUAUUUAGAAAACCUUAAGUACUCAAGUUGACCAGGAGGCACCAAGUGGUAUAAAUACAGCCAGAUGUACCAGAUAUUCCUGGAGAGCCCUACAUUUAAAUAUUCUUCUCUUUCAUUGUACCAGCAAUUAUAUUAAUAUAUGUCAAACCAUUUGACCAGAUUUCUAGUACAAAAAUACAAUCAUACUAUUAUGAAAUGAAAAGGGGGCUGGAUUUGGAGCCAGGGUCCAGGUUGUAGCUCUGCCGCUUGUGACUUGGUCAAGUCAGAUGCCUCUCUGAGCCUCAGUUUCCACACUUCUAAAUGAAAAAUAAAUCCCAGUGGGUGAUGCUGCCUGUUGCGUCAUCCAUGUCAUGGGUUAUUGUGAGGAUAAAACAAUGCCGUAUUCUAAAGCAUUUUUGCAGCAGUAAAAUGGCUCUGUCUUCUACAGGAUACAUUCUACUUUUAGGGGUAAAUUGCAUGGUAUUAGUUAAUUACAUAUUCCUAACGGAUUGUGAACUUUCUCAUGGUUGGCAUUCUUGUCAUGUCAAAAUAAUGUUUUGCCAGGUAUUAUCAUCACAUACAAUAGCAUUUCUAUUGGAGCAAGAUAAAAAGCUCAUUUUUUAAAGUUGGCGAUACCUCACAUCCUAAUUAGCUUCAGCUGAAGAUAAUUUCAGAAACUUCCCAGGUGCUAGUUCCCUUGUAUUAGGAGGGUUGCUGCAGAGGUGAAAUAGUUGUAUAUUCCAGUUGCUAUGUUUAUUUAGUUCACACGUUAUAUGCAGUUUAUCUUUUUUUCAUUUAAUCUUAGUGAUAGUUGUGGGUGUAGGGGUGGAUUUUGUUUUUGUUUUGUUUUGUUUUUAAUUUCAGUUCUGGCCAGGAAUGAUGGAUGAACUCUCCGAGUUGAGAGAAUUCUAUGAUCCAGAUACAGUGGAGCUGAUGAACUGGAUUAACUCUAACACUCCAAGAAAGGCUGUGUUUGCGGGAAGCAUGCAGUUGCUGGCCGGAGUCAAGCUGUGCACAGGAAGGACCCUAACCAACCACCCGCACUAUGAAGACAGCAGCCUGAGAGAGCGAACCAGAGCGGUUUAUCAGAUAUAUGCCAAGAGGGCGCCAGAGGAAGUGCAUGCCCUCCUAAGGUCCUUCGGCACUGACUACGUAAUCCUGGAAGACAGCAUCUGCUACGAGCGGAGGCACCGCCGGGGCUGCCGACUCCGGGACCUGCUGGACAUUGCCAACGGCCACAUGAUGGAUGGCCCAGGAGAGAAUGAUCCUGAUUUGAAACCUGCAGACCACCCUCGCUUCUGUGAAGAGAUCAAAAGAAACCUGCCUCCCUACGUGGCCUACUUCACCAGAGUGUUCCAGAACAAAACCUUCCACGUUUACAAGCUGUCCAGAAACAAGUAGCACAGAUUUCUGCCCAGUGUCUAUUUUUGAUAUGGAGAAACUGCAUCAUGAUGAAACUCAAUAGAUGACGUUUCCUAUGUAAGUAGGUAGCCCAAACCUUCAAGCUGUGAUAUGAGUAAGUUCUACAGAUGUUUACACAAGUGUUGCCAUCUUUGAAAGCAUCUUCUACAAGCGGAAGUCUUUUUCGUUGUGUGUCUAUCUUUCUCAUUAAUGUUCUUUAGCCUAAAUGUUAACAACUUUCUAAGAGUGACCUAGAAUUAUGUUGUUGGAGAGAAUGAUGUGUGUUCCAUGGAUACCUGGAUAGGCACAUAACAUGUUGGAAGAUGAGCACCUGCUCAGGAUUUGAAAUACGUUUAAUUUUCAGGUGACUUAAGACAGCUAUGAUUGAAUCAACUGGAGAUGAUGAUCGACUUAUUUAAUAUGAUUUCACUGGUGAAGACCAAUUGGUAGCUUUUUAAAAAGCACUUUAGUGUCCUGUUUUACCUUAAAAUGUUAUAAUAUUUUCCAGUUGUCAUGCUUUCAACAUUAACAAAAAAAAUCAUGUUAAGGCUUUGUAUCAAACAUUUUGUUACACUCUGUCUGAAAUGUAAUGUGGAGUACUUCAGCAGUAUGUGUCAUGUAUUGUGUGUGUCUGUGUGUGUAUGUGCACACAUGUGUUUUAAUGCUGGGCGCAGAAAAGUGUUACAAGUUCCAUAUUGUAAGUCCUUAAAGGGGCAGAAAUAUAUGUAGCCAAGUAGAAUUUAUUACAUUUUAGUGUUAUUAUUUUAAAACUUACUGAUACUCUUUAACCUCUCCUGCAGUAAUAGUUUUGCUUUAUUUCUUACUCAUUUCAAUUUAUUGGGUUUGCAAAAUUUUGUAAACUUUUUGUGUUUUUAGCCUUUGUAUUUUUUACAGCCUAGAAUCUUGCAAAGUCUGAAUAUUUUUUAAAUGUUCUAUCUUAACUAGUUCACUAAUACAGUAUUUUUAGCAGACAGCAUUUUCAGACAGCAUUUUCAUACCAAGUUUGACUUGUGGUCUCCAAUCUUACUGGGAAGGCCCUGGUAGUGUCAUUCUUUUCCUUAUUAAAAGGUAACCAAGUGCCUCUAAGUCAUGCUUAUUUGUAAACAACAAAGAAGAGUAUAUGUACCUGCUCAAAAUUUUUUUGAUAAUCGCUUAUAUAAUUAAUUUCUAAUGAUGAGGACAUGUAAAAGUUGCCAGUAAGAACAUAGUAUGCAUUUAAUUAAAUCAAGAUGGCUAAUGGAAUUAACUUUCUCCCCUGUUCUUGCCAGGUGGAAAUGAUUUAAGCAUUUCUCCUUGCAGUUGUAUUGAAGUAAAUUACCAUAGGCAUCAAGAUGGCUGCAUCACAUUUUCAAAUGAUUUUAUAUUCAGUUGCUACUUAUAAAGCAGCAUUCAAAAAGUCUUUUACACUGUCAUGUUGGACACAAGCAGACUCAGCUUUUAUCAAAACUUGUUUAAAUAAAAAAUUGACAGUAGCUGGAUUAUUAAAUUAUGCAACUGAAACUCCUGAAUUAUAUCUUUUCUGUAUCCCUUAAUAAGAUUGGAGACCACUGCCAUUUAGGAUAAUACAAUAAUAAAACGUUUUAAUCAGUACUAAAACUUUAAUUAAGCCAAUAAUGAUGCAUGCCUGUUGUAGCUGACAGCAUGGGUCAGUACAUCCUUCAGCGAGUGCCUUACUCUAAUUGAAACCAAGCACACGUAAGGUACAAUAUGUUAGACUCUGUGAUUUUGUUUUCAAAAUCCUCUGUUAUGGCUAUAUUUAAAUUUAUUUUAAAUAUUCCUGUAUGUAUUCAUCUAAGCAUUUGGGCAUUUGGAGUCUUAAUAUACAAGAAACACGUACUUAAAUUUUUAUGCUUAUCACCGCAAUGAUGGCAAACAGUGAUUUUUUUUUUCAUAGUUUAGGUGUCAUUGUUGCCAGCACCUUUAGUGCUCAGUCUUCAGUGAAAAAUAUAAAGUGCCAAAAAAAUCUUGCAAGACAGAAUCCAUACUUAACACUCUUUCCAAGACACUGUGACCAUGUACAGUAGUUUUUAUUUCCUGAUGACCAAAUCUCUCAACGAAUCAUGUUAUUAAUAAAUAUUUUUAGCACUCAUCAGUAUUCUCCAAUGUGACCUUCUCAUUGGAGUACACAGAAGGAAAGCAAAGAAGAGCAUCUGACUUCUAGCUCUGGCUUACAGCCUCUCUACCAGGCCGAAGCAAGAGACCCGCGGCAGCAGCUCCCCGCCACUCAGACCUGGGUGGUGAUAGCCUCAAAGAAUGGCUCUGUUUUCUAUUGACAGAAAACCCACUUGAUUUUGCUUCUGAGUUAGCAGUCAGAAGACCCUCUAAGUACAAUAGAAGUGCUCUUAACGGACUCUGCCUGUGUGACUCCCAGGCCCCGGAGUCUCCAUCUCUCUUGUAAGCCACCUGCCCCAGCACAGCUGGAGGCUGUUCUCUGGUGUUCUCAGCGCUCUGGCUCCCUCCCUGGAGUUGUGCACCCGUCCCAAACUCCUCCGUGCAAGUUCUGCUUCCUCUUGUAAGUACACAACUCAGUUAAGUAUUCACAUACAUACAGAAAAUACGGGUGUGAAAAGAAAGAAUUUUCUGCAAAAAUUAAGUUGAAUACUUAGGUAAAAAGUGAUAAAGGCUGAGUUGCCAAUAAAAGUUGCUUUUAAAUUAGGUGUGGCUGGGAAUAUUAUAAGAUAUUGGGGAAAAUAUACAAAUCAAGAAAAUUUCUGAGCUUAGAUUGCUUCAUAGAUUUAUUUAAGUACUCAUCCCACCUUUAAAACCUCUAAACUGAGAAGAAGGGACCCAAAUCAUGUUAUUGGUGUGAUUUAUGUGAGAAGUAGAACUGUAGUCAUUAGACCCUUAGGCAAAGGAAAAUCCGUGUCUUUAUAUCAGAAGAUCGGCAAACGAAUGUAUAUUAUACAGUUUAGGUUAUGAUUCCCUACUUUAACCUACUCACUUUAUUAAAUGACCAACUACUGAUACUGAUCACAAUAGUUAUUAGAGAUUCUAAUUUAGUUGGAAGGUUCUAAUCACUUUCAUUACAGGCAUUUGAAAAAUAGGGAUUCAUUUCAAAUAUAUUAGCCAGGAGCAUAGUUAGAUGUUACCCAGGCCAUUUAUCAUCCUGUUAAUGAUGAUUUUCCCGACCCUUGUGAGAUCAGCGUGACAGGAGUGUGUGUGUGUGUGUGUGUUUCUGUGGGUGUGUGGUUUUGGUUGGGUGCUGCCAGGUGGCAAAGGCAUAUGUAAAUACAUCUGAUCUGCAUCUUUAUUUCACAAUUAACUAGAAGUAAAAAUGUCUAUUCUGGUUCCAUAUUGAUUUUGUCUAAGAUGUAAAAAUUUGAGUUCGUCUUUGGCCAAAACCUACCUGAAUUAACAUACAAAAUAUUUGAUUUUUAAAAUUUAACUCAAAUCUCAAAAUCAAUUAAGUAUUCUCAGAUCCUAUAUCUUGGUUAAUAUGCUCCCAGAUACUUUAAACAUGGCAACCUUUUGGCCUAAGAGAAUGUUUGUCUGUUCAUGGAAAAAAGCUUUUGAGAUGAGAGGGUGUCUUACUUUCUUGUGGCAAUUGAUUUUCUGUUUUAACACCCUUUGGGUAAAAUCUUGCAAAGAGCUUUUAUAAUUUGUUUUACUGAAUUGUAUGGAGAUUGUGUACUAAGUAAAGCUCUUUUAAAUU